rnacentral:rRNA from 1 species
AUUGAACGCUGGCGGCAGGCCUAACACAUGCAAGUCGAGCGGAGCGGAGGACGGGGACGUAAUGCCUAGGAAUCUGCCUGGUCGUGGGGGAUAACGACCGGCAACGGGCGCUAAUACGGAAUACUAUCAGCUGAGCCUAGGUCGGAUUAGCUAGUUGGUGGUGUAAAGGCCUACCACGGCGACGAUCCGGAACUGGUCUGAGAGGAGGAUCAGUCACACGUGAACUGAGACACGGUCCAGACUCCUACGGGAGGCAGCAGUGGGGAAUAUUGCACAAUGGGCGAAAGCCUGAUGCAGCCAUGCCGCGUGUGUGAAGAAGGUCUUCGGAUUGUAAAGCACUUUAAGUUGGGAGGCGUUACCAACAGAAUAAGCACCGGCUAACUUCGUGCCAGCAGCCGCGGUAAUUC